rnacentral:SRP_RNA from 1 species
UGCGGUUCUACGGCGCGUCCCUUUCCAGCCCGAUGUUUGUGUUUGAGCUCAUGGAGGGGGGGGCCUUGGACAGGCACCUUGAGGAGCUGAACCGCACCCAACGGAAACCGAGCAGG